UGCAAGGUGUGCACCUAGAGCGCAGCCCCAAGCUUUCCAGCUGAAAUUGCUCGUGUAUUGACCCAGUUUUGGGGUUUUUGGAGGUUGCGUCUUUAGGUGCACCCAUACAUGCAGAGUAUAAUUUUGUUUGGAAGAAGUUGGAGAUUGAUACUUAGCAUGGUUUUUUUUCUUUCCGUGGCAAUUUUGGGGAGAAAUAUAACUUUGUAACUUUUUUCUUUUGGUCAAACCACAAACUUCUACGGAGAAGUGCACCCACAGAUCUCCACGUUGGAAAGCAAGGAUAGUGUCCCUGAAUAGCUACAGGAGCAGAAGAUUAUUGGAAUGAGAGAAGGGUUUUCUGAACCUGUGAAUGAUGAGUAUUUUAUGGCUUUUUGUUAUUGGUUCUGGUGUCAGCACCCAGAGACUUUCCUAUAGGAGUCGAGAGGAUGGAGUGGGGAGACCCUCUUGUGAGUUAACUGCACAACUGCUCACAACAAUCCCAUCAUAAUAAAGCUGCAUUUUAAGCAUAGUCAAUGGCAAAACUUCCGGGGGUUGUGAUCACACCAAGGCCUGCACCCUCAACUGGGUCUAACAGAUGCGCUGAUAGGAAAUCUGGCUCUAAACUUCAUUCAGAAAGCCUUCCAAUGGGGCUGGCUGACUCCAUCUAAAGAACAAAUGCUCUGUAAGGCUACACCUUUAUUUCUGUGUUUUUGUAUUACUUUUCUUUUAUUCAGGUCCUUCUCUAGUCAUAUUCUAGUUUCUUAUUUAAACCAGUGCAUGGUUGCUGUGGUAAAUUGGACCCUAGUAACCAGACUGAUGAAAUUGCAAACUGAAGAGCUGCUAAAUAAAACAACUAAACUGAAAAAUAGUAAGGAAUGAAAACCAACUGUCACUGUCUGUCAUACUUAAAGUUAACUCAAAGGGUACACAACCCCAUUUAUUAAACUAAGGUUCGAUUAAGAUUGACUAUUUUUCAGUGGCUCUGGUGCAAAAUACAGUGUGUCUCACCCCUAUGUGUACUAUUUUGGCUCAAUUAAUACGAACUACCUUUAUUAUACUGAUCACUCACUUAUUAGAGCUUUAUAAUACACAAAAGCAAUGAAUAUCUUGUAAAUUAU